ACCUGACUUGAAUGAGCCGAGCUAAACAUCCGCGCUUAAAUUGGUUCCAUAACAGUAAGUUGAGGAUCAUGUGAUUUUACUAAUUUGAGUCAGGUUUAAAUAGUCUAGAUAAUUGCGCGUGCACGCCAUUGUUUAAAAGUCCUGAAAAGUCGAGCAUGGGUCAAUCGAUUUACUGUGGGCUACCAUGGCAACAAAAGGAAAAGAUAGAGCAGCGAUGUUCACGGCAACGGAACAGCGUUUGCUAUUGGAAACAUAUGAAGAAUUUAAAGAUGUCAUCACCAAAAAAGGCAAUACAGCGGCAAUAAAUAAAGCAAGAGAGAAAGGUUGGCAGGAAAUUGCUGAUCGUCUCAAUGCCAGCAACUUAAGUGAAGGAAAAAGAACCUGGCAGCAGGUGAAAAUAAAAUAUAAAAAUAUAGUUCAGAAUGCGACCAAAAAGAAGACUGAGGUUGCUGGCACUGGGGGAGGGCCACCACCAGCCAGCUUCACUCCUGCAGAGGAGCUGGCUUUGGAAAUUAAUAAAGGGAGGCCCGUCCUUGAGGGAAUAGAGGGGGGGACAUCAUCUAAAAUGAUAUCACGUAGUAUAAGGAGUGAGUAUAUAAAAGAUUCUGUAUGCUGUAUGGAUCCACCAGACAUCAUGUUGCCUGUGAGUAUGAGACCUUUUAAAAAGACAUGUAAGCUAAUGAUUUUAACUGAGUUUAAUCAGUGGUCACAGGGAGAAGUGAUGGGAGUUGAGGAGGAUGAGGAGACUGUGUCUGUAUGUUCAAGGAGGCCUGAGGUAGUCACAGGUUCCAUGUGAUACUUUAUUGAAUAUAAAAAAAGUGUACUUGUGUGAUAAAAUGAUCAUAAUGUGUUUUCAGGAUGCUGACACUGUUCUAGAGCCCUCUCAGUCUGGGACCACAUGUGACAAAAACCCAGAAAACAUAAAAGGAGUGUAUAAACGCUACCUCCUUAAACAAAUGGAAGCGAUUGAUAUCGACAUCCAGUAUAAAAAACUGAAGAUGAGGAAGUUGGAGCUGGAAAUUCAACAGCUACAGAAAAAUGCAAGUAGAACUACCAUUUUUAAAAAAGGAAAAGGAAAAAAAAAAGACCUUUUUGAUCACUUUCCACAACAUUUAUUUGUGUGUUUUCACCCCUA